UACGUAGGGGGCAAGCGUUGUCCGGAAUCAUUGGGCGUAAAGAGCGUGUAGGCGGCCCGAUAAGUCCGCCGUGAAAGUCCAGGGCUCAACCCUGGAAUGCCGGUGGAAACUGCCGGGCUGGAGUCCGGAAGAGGCGAGUGGAAUUCCUGGUGUAGCGGUGAAAUGCGCAGAUAUCAGGAGGAACACCAAUGGCGAAGGCAGCUCGCUGGGACGGUACUGACGCUGAGACGCGAAAGCGUGGGGAGCAAACAGG
rnacentral:rRNA from 1 species